AUGAAGUAUUUCUCAUCCAUUCACUUCGUUUCUUUUUUUUCUCAAACAAAAAGGUUUUUUUUUCUUUUCUUCUGUACGCGCGCGCGCGUGUGUGUGUGUGUGUGUGUGUGUGUGUGUAACGAUGAUGACGACGUCCAGGUGCGCGCUGACGAGCCCGAGGAGCGUGCGUGCCGCUGGUCGGAGUCACGCGCACAGGUGAGCUCGGCAUCGUGCGUCCGGGACAGAGUGCGCGGGCUGUACGUGCGCGUGCGCGGCGCGGAUCUCCUCCUCGCGGCCACACCGAGGAAGUCGUGUCCCGAACUUCUCCCCCUUUUUCUCCCCGUUUUCUCCCCGCUGCUUCCGGGCCGCUCGGCUGCGGAGCUCCACGAGGACCCGGUGCCCCGGAGACCGGCAGCUCCGCGCGGGAGAGAGAGCGCGUUUCCACGGCAACACGCGAAGUGAAGAGAGGGGGCGGAGCUACUGAAACAACUACAGACAUUGUGAAGAGACGGAGAAGGUGAUGUUAGCAUGAGUAGCUAACGUGUUAAUGAACGUCAUUAAUCUAAUUAUGACCCGUAUGCAUGCACGUUGCUACUAGUAAACAGGAAGUGACCGUAUAAGUAGACGCUGUAUAGGUCUCUCGUAGGGACAUGUCAAUCAGCGUGUAGCCCCGCCCUAAAGCAUCCUCUGCUUUA
ensembl:lncRNA